rnacentral:lncRNA from 1 species
UGAUACCCCCUCUUCUCUUUUUGUUUAAUCAGCUUGUUUUGGCAUUACGAUAAAGAGAGAAAGAAACCGGACACGCAACAUCUCCAUUGAAUCCAUCUAAUCUCUCCUCUGAUUGAACGCGAACCAAAGGAAGAAGAACAUAAAUCGGAAGCCAUCCGAUUCUAGACCUUAAUCGGAGCGCUGAAAACCAAUUAAGGACUAACGUGAUUAAGAAUCAUUUGAAAUUGUGAUAAUGAUCGAGAAGGAAGAAACUAUGCCUGUCAGCAUUGGGUGAAUGGAGGUAGAAACAGAGGAAACUGAAAAUGGUAAUAAUGAUGUAUCUCGUCCCUAAAGAGGCUAAUGAUCAGCCGAAGGAACUACUAUACUAGAAACAAGCUUCUAAAAGGCUAUUGCAGAAUGGGAUACGGGUACUGAUGCGGGUCCUCUUGUAACUAGGCCUAGGCAUAUUCGGUUUGAAUCUCUUCAUGAAGGUAUAUAGGGGUGCUAAACGGGUCAUGUUCGCGGGUUUGCGGGUCAACCCGAACCCGAAAAUUUUAGACUGAUGCGAACCCGAAAAUCAUGCCGUACAUAUGAAUCCGAACCCGAAUAUUCGCAUACCGACCGAACCCGACCCGUUCAACCCGAUUUUUUUUUAUUUUUUUUCAGCAAAUUAAUAUAUUAAAAUUAACACUACAACAAAAAAAAACACAAAUUUAUAUAAUAAAAUUACAUUAAAAUCAUAUAAAUUUAUGUCAACUUCCAUUUUUAAGUUAUAUUUAUAGCAUAAAAUAUACACCCAAUUUAAUUUAUGACAUAAAACAUAUUUUUAAAAAUAUAAUAUAAUAGAAAUGGGUUAAACGGGUCAACCUGCC